GAGGAGGAAGAAGGGAUAAUUUACUCAGCACUUGCCCAGUACUGUAUUUCGGGUUGACAUACAUCUCUAGAAUCUGACGCCUUCACUUUUCCCUAAUUAGCUAUCACCUGGGGUGACGACUCCGAGAAAUCCACACAACUAGAUUCUGUACCUUUUUACCGGCUGUGGGACUAACUGCAGACUGCGAGUCUUUCUCUGAAGCAUCACUUUACACGAGCCAGAAACUGUGAUUUCCACUUUGCUGCACCUCUGAGUACAGGCGGCAGGGAGGCGGUGAGGGAGUGCUUCCACAUUAAACAAUUCCACGUUGUAAUCCACACAGGACAUCUGGGCUCCAGGCAGACAAGGGAUCAGUGAACCUACCAGCUCAUGAAGGGCAGCCAGCGAGUGUGGGAAGGGGGAAAGGACACUAAAAAUCAUGACUAGGCGUUCGUAAGACUUGCCCUGACUACAGAGACAGAGGAGGAACGCGGGUUUGAAAGAGCGGUGAUGCCUGGGGCAGGAAGACAAAAAGGGAACAGGAGUCACCUAUAGCUGUAGUAUCUUGAUUACCUAAAAACAGAAGAGGGGGGUGGGGUGGAAACAGAAAAAGGAAGAAACAGCCUGAAGCACACAGCAGCCCAAGGCCUUGGCUGUCGGUUAUGGGAGGCUCCCCACCGCUUUCUGUAAGUUUGUAAUAGGAAAGAAUUAAAGUAUUUUCAAAGAAGAAAAUAUUAACGA